UAACUUCCGCAUUUGUGAAAC
ensembl:piRNA 21ur-5080 ncRNA